CGGGACGGGUGAGUAACACGUGGAUAACCUACCUAUAAGACUGGGAUAACUUCGGGAAACCGGAGCUAAUACCGGAUAAUAUAUUGAACCGCAUGGUUCAAUAGCGAAAGACGGUUUUGCUGUCACUUAUAGAUGGAUCCGCGCUGCAUUAGCUAGUUGGUAAGGUAACGGCUUACCAAGGCAACGAUGCGUAGCCGACCUGAGAGGGUGAUCGGCCACACUGGAACUGAGACACGGUCCAGACUCCUACGGGAGGCAGCAGCG
rnacentral:rRNA from 1 species